GGACAGUUACUCAGCUCUUUUAAGUUACUAUCUCUUCCUCUGUGAGAAGUCCUUGGGCCAUGCACACAUGGACAACCUCCCCUGACUAAGACUUCUGUUUCAGUCUUUCUAUCUUUUGCAUAACUAAGUCACACUGAAUUCCCAGUUGUGAAGAUUAGCUAAAAUCAUGAAUGCAGUAUAUUAUUAAGUACAUUACUUAGAACAGGAAUUAAUAUUAUUCUUUGGGCUCUGUUUCUUGUAUAAGCCCGGGCUCUUUGCAGAAGAGAGUUGCUAAGGGUUGCUUCCCCAUGGCAUUUUUCUAACAGGUAGGGCAAAGUGAAGAGAUAAGGUACAGCCAGGUUGAGCCAAACUACCCUAUCUUCUCCCAUGUAGGCUUGAAGAUUGGUAGUGGUACAUCAAGUGGGUCCAGUGGUACCUGUCAUGUCAUCUUUCUUUCUUUGGUGGCUUCAACUCCUUUAAUUUUUUUUUUUCCAUCAGCUGCGCCAUUUGACCCUUCAAUAGCUUUGACUCAGACACAUACAUGUGAGUGAGGAUAAGAACACAUUUGGUACAUUUGACUGCUUUUGCUCUAAUGGCCUAAGUACAGGUCCAGGUGAACCCAAACAACUGUCCCCUUGCAUAGGUACAGGGACCAACUUUGAUGCAUAAACUGAGAGAAUCCCUGGAAGAGAUCCACAAGAUGCGCAAAGAUCACAAGGCAGACCGUCAAACUGAUUUUAAAAGAAUGCACUGAAGCCAAGGUCCUGUACAUCAUCAAGCGUGGCUCAUGGAAAGAAGGAACAAUGACCACAUUCACCAAAAGGGUAUCUCCAUGGACAAGUUCUGUGAAUGCAUCUGCCCCCAAAACAUUCUACAUUGCUCGGAUUAGCCUCAAGAAAGUGGGACCUAAAUGGGGCAGAGGAGCCUCUCGCUGUGGCCACCACUGCCUUCAGCCCAUAAGUGAGUUUUUCCAGGCUACCUCCGAUGAUCACUUAAAGCUCAGCGGCUCUUCAUUCAGCUUGUGGUGAGUGCUGCCAGGCCUGAGACUCCCACUUAAGGGUAGUGGGACUCCUCUCUGGCCCAGGGCAGGUCUAGAAAUGCUGUCCAAGAGCUUAGGCAUGGACUCAAAGACCCCAAGAGCCUGCUUUUUCUCUGUCCCACUGUGGCCAAGCUGGUACCUAAGAUGCAAGACAAAGUUCCCUUUACUUUUCUCUCUGCUUUUCUCAAACAGAAGGGGUCUCUCCCUGUAGCCACCAAAGCUGGGAAUGUGCUGGGUCACACUUGAAUCCAGCAUGUCUAAGAGCCCAGUGACCACAGUAUACUACUACCUGGGUAUUGCUUCUGCUUAUUCAGGGCCCAAGAGUUCUCUAGACAGCAGGUAGUGAAUCCUGCCAGUCCUGGGUCCUCUUCCAGGCUGAAGCUUCCCCUUUGGCUCAAGGUGUGUCUGGAAAUGUCACCUAGUAGCUAAGGCCUGGAACAGGUAUCUCAUGACUCUGCACAAUACCCUAUCCUACUGUGGCUGAGAUGGUAUCCAAGAUGUAAGCCCUCUUUGCUCUUCGUUCUCCUCACCUUAAGUAGCAAGCUGAGCUGCCUUGGACAUGGCACAAGCACUGCUUUAUGUGUUCCAUCCGAUGUCUCCCUAGGUCAUGUGCCAUCCUAGUACACUGACUCUAAGUCCAGGUUAGCACUAAGAGUUACCAAGAACUUCAGUCCUUGUGUCAUAGACUGCCUUUCAAGUUUACUUGGAACCCCAGAGCACUUCAGCCUGCUGUGGUGAGGCAUGCUGAGAAACUGAAGUUCAAAGUACUGGGCUGGGUGAUUCUUUUCUGGCUAGGUGAGGUCCAAAUGCUCCCUCUUACAUGGGUGCUGGCUGAGCCCAGCACAGCUUUGCUCUCUGCUGUGACAGGGCAGCACUGAAUUCAAUGUAAAGUCCUCCAGUUGCUGUGGUCUCCCUCUUUCAAGUGCACAGACUCUCUCCCAACAGCAUGACUGCUGCCAGAGGAAUUACUAAUUCCCCUGUAGGAGAUUCAGGACUGUCUGUCUUACUUUCUUCAGUGACACGAAGUUCAAACCAGGUAGUCUAAUUGCUCACCUGAUUUUUGGCUCUCGUGAUGGUUCUUUUCUGUGUGCAGAUAGUUGUUAAAAUUUGGUGUUACUGUCGGGAUGAACAGUGUAGACUUCUAUUCCACAAUCUUGCUCUGCCCGCUUCCUGCCCGCAGUUGAGAUUCUUG
ensembl:lncRNA